UAUUACUGACUUGGUACAGGCAUUUACUUGUGUAUGAAAUUGUGGAUUAAACCUAUUUUCAUAGAGCUAAACCUCUCACUUGAACGACCCUCUCAUCAAAUUCCAUUAUAUUGACAACGAUGCAAUCACUCGCGGAUACUAUAAUAUAUACAUUUUACAUAAGUAAAAAUUCACACUAAUGAACAUAUUGGCAAAUGAACCCAAACAACGUACUAAGUUUGGAAUAUGUUUUCGAGAUUCACCACCUUCAAUCUUGUAGUGACUUUUCAAAAGGAGCAAACUCAUUAAUGGACAUUAUGUAUUAAUCUGGCGAAGACCCAAAUUGUCAACUAAUUACUUAUUUCCUAAAUUGUAAUCUCCCAAAGAAAUGGAUGAAAUAUUUCACAGCAAGAAAAUUGACCGUUUCGGAGUUCCAUCUGUGGUCUGUGAAAGGGUGGCAACGGUAUUCUGAUACUCGAUAGUUGUACGACAAUGGCAGAUAUCUGGUAUUAAGGAAUAUAUAUUCAUACAUUUGUUAUAUGCUUAUAGAAGAGGGUUUGGAUGGGGUUAAAUGAUUAAAGAAUAAUGCCCUUAAAAAUGAAGAUUAGAGAAUAACAGGCAAAAAAUGAAGAUAAGAGAAAAAAGGGGUUAAUUUUUUGAAGAUUAAAGAAAAAGGGGUUAAAUUUUUAAAGAUUAGAGAAAAAAGGGGUUGAAAAUUAAAUAUUUACAGAAUAACAGACCCCCUUCCAUCCAGACCCUCAUAGAAAGCCAAGAAUAUAGUAAGCCACUUUAUUCAGAAUUACUGAAAAUUAAGAGGUGACAAAAUUGAAGCUACAGGAAUAUAUACUAACAUUAUAAGUUAUAUGUUACUUAUACAUGUAGGAAAGAGUAGAAUUACAAAAAUACUGACCAACUCCGAGGAAAAUUCAAAACGGAAAGUCCGUAAUUAUAUAAUCAUGGCAAAAUCAAAAGCUCAUACACAUCAAACGAAUGGAUAACAACUGUCAUAUUCCUGACUUGGUACGGGCAAUAUCUCGUGUAGA
rnacentral:lncRNA from 1 species